GGGAGCCCAGGCAGGGGAGGCGCCGAGAGCCAGUGAGGACUGCCAGCACCGCUGUCACCUCUCAGAAAUGCUGGGAAGAAUAUGAGAGAUCCGGAAGGGAACAGAAGACAAGGAAUGUGGGCACCCUCUAGAAGUUGCAGAAGCCAGAGAAACAGACUCUCCCCUGGAAUGUUCAGAAAGUGUACAAUCCUGCCAAGACCUCGGUCAUAGCUCAGUGAAACCCAUUUUGAAAUUCGGACCACCAGAACUUUUUGCCUUGUGCUUGAGACACACCCAGACCUUUAGCCUCCAGCCUGCAGAAAUUGGUAGAUUUCUUCUGUG
rnacentral:lncRNA from 1 species